GACGAACCGUACAAACGUUGUUCGGAAUCACUGGGCUUAAAGGGCUCGUAGGCGGCCAACUAAGUCAGACGUGAAAUCCCUCGGCUUAACCGGGGAACUGCGUCUGAUACUGGAUGGCUGGAGGUUGGGAGAGGGAUGCGGAAUUCCAGGUGUAGCGGUGAAAUGCGUAGAUAUCUGGAGGAACACCGGUGGCGAAGGCGGCAUCCUGGACCAAUUCUGACGCUGAGGAGCGAAAGCCAGGGGAGCAAACGGG
rnacentral:rRNA from 1 species